ACUGAUGCUUCUUGUGUGACCUCCCAAGUAUUUAUUUAUGUAACACUUAUUGAAUGAAGAUGUGUGAAGAUGGAUAUUUGAAAGUAAUGCGUUUCACUCAUUCAUGUGGAGUCUUCACCUGAUGGAUGCCUCAUUCUGUGAAUAAACUGGCGGUGUUGCUGUAUACAGACCACAUCUUUCUUCUAAAGCUGCAAGGCACACAUUUAAACUCAAAUCUCAGAGAGUGCAGCACCUAGAUUGCAGUACAAAUUGGUAUGACCAACCAGACCCAGCAACCAUCGAUCUUCAUUCUUCCUGCCAC